AUUUGCGAUGAAGACUUCAUCAAAUUCAAGCUCAACAGACCGGAAUGCAGGUUUCUCUAUUUUGAGAAUUUUGCGUGUCGAUUAUAUCAUCAACUGAGCAAUU